AGUGAACGCUGGCGGUAGGCCUAACACAUGCAAGUCGAACGGCAGCACAGUAAGAGCUUGCUCUUGCGGGUGGCGAGUGGCGGACGGGUGAGGAAUACAUCGGAAUCUACUUUUUCGUGGGGGAUAACGUAGGGAAACUUACGCUAAUACCGCAUACGACCUACGGGUGAAAGCAGGGGAUCUUCGGACCUUGCGCGAUUGAAUGAGCCGAUGUCGGAUUAGCUAGUUGGCGGGGUAAAGGCCCACCAAGGCGACGAUCCGUAGCUGGUCUGAGAGGAUGAUCAGCCACACUGGAACUGAGACACGGUCCAGACUCCUACGGGAGGCAGCAGUGGGGAAUAUUGGGCAAUGGGCGCAAGCCUGAUCCAGCCAUACCGCGUGGGUGAAGAAGGCCUUCGGGUUGUAAAGCCCUUUUGUUGGGAAAGAAAGGCAGCAGGUUAAUACCCCGCUGUUCUGACGGUACCCAAAGAAUAAGCACCGGCUAACUUCGUG
rnacentral:rRNA from 1 species